ACCAGACUCCUACGGGAGGCAGCAGUGAGGAAUAUUGGUCAAUGGGCGAGAGCCUGAACCAGCCAAGUCGCGUGAGGGAAGACGGUCCUAUGGAUUGUAAACCUCUUUUGCCGGGGAGCAAAAAGCGGUACGUGUACCGCAUCGAGAGUACCCGGAGAAAAAGCAUCGGCUAACUCCGUGCCAGCAGCCGCGGUAAUACGGAGGAUGCGAGCGUUAUCCGGAUUUAUUGGGUUUAAAGGGUGCGUAGGCGGGCUGUUAAGUCAGCGGUAAAAUGUCGGGGCUCAACCCCGGCCUGCCGUUGAAACUGGCAGUCUCGAGUUGGAGAGAAGUAUGCGGAAUGCGCGGUGUAGCGGUGAAAUGCAUAGAUAUCACGCAGAACUCCGAUUGCGAAGGCAGCAUACCGGCGCGCAACUGACGCUCAUGCACGAAAGCGUGGGUAUCGAACAGGAUUAGAUACCCUGGUAC
rnacentral:rRNA from 1 species